rnacentral:rRNA from 1 species
GAUGAACGCUGGCGGCGUGCCUAAUACAUGCAAGUCGAGCGAACGGACGAGAAGCUUGCUUCUCUGAUGUUAGCGGCGGACGGGUGAGUAACACGUGGAUAACCUACCUAUAAGACUGGGAUAACUUCGGGAAACCGGAGCUAAUACCGGAUAAUAUUUUGAACCGCAUGGUUCAAAAGUGAAAGACGGUCUUGCUGUCACUUAUAGAUGGAUCCGCGCUGCAUUAGCUAGUUGGUAAGGUAACGGCUUACCAAGGCAACGAUGCAUAGCCGACCGGAGAGGGUGAUCGGCCACACUGGAACUGAGACACGGUCCAGACUCCUACGGGAGGCAGCAGUAGGGAAUCUUCCGAAAUGGGCGAAAGCCUGACGGAGCAACGCCGCGUGAGUGAUGAAGGUCUUCGGAUCGUAAAACUCUGUUAUUAGGGAAGAACAUAUGUGUAAGUAACUGGGCACAUCUUGACGGGACCUAAUCAGAAAGCCACGGCUAACUACG